rnacentral:rRNA from 1 species
UACGUAGGGGGCAAGCGUUGUCCGGAAUCAUUGGGCGUAAAGCGCGUGUAGGCGGCUCGGUAAGUCUGCUGUGAAAGUCCAGGGCUCAACCCUGGGAUGCCGGUGGAUACUGUCGAGCUCGAGUCCGGAAGAGGCGAGUGGAAUUCCUGGUGUAGCGGUGAAAUGCGCAGAUAUCGAGAGGAACACCUGCGGCGAAGGCGGGUUGCUGGGCUGACACUGACGCUGAAGCGCGAAAGCUAGGGGAGCGAACGGG